ensembl:lncRNA novel transcript
UCCGUCUCCAAAAAAAAAAAAAAAAUAGAAAAGAAUGAGAAGAUUAGAAAUGUCGGAUUGUGUGAAGCUAUUGUACAGUUUACAAGGACCUUUAGCCCAUCAAAACCUGCAAAAUCUUUACAUACGCAGAAGAACAGACAGUUCUUUAAUGAACCAGAAGAAAAUUUCUGGAUGGUCAUGGUAUUUACAUACACAGUGUAUCUUUCUGAAAUUGUAUGGUGAAGUUAUGGGUGAUCUUUACUAUUCAGAAUUUAGCAAAGUUCUCUGGCUAUUGCAUCCAAGUAAAAUUAAAAUAAAAUUCGUUGCAGUUUUAAAAUCAAGUUCUUCCUGUUUGCUUUAUUCGUUCUUGGGGCUGCUUUAAGAAGCUGUGUUUCUGGUGCUGUAGCAUGUGCAAAGUUUUUAAACUAAGGCAAAAUAAACAUGGUCUAAUGAAUUCAUUGUAUAAUUUCAGUUUAUCAAACUUUGUAGGUUGUUCGGAAUCCUAUAAUUGAAAAACAGUAAAGAUGGAAAACCAGUUAUUGAAUAUCAAGAGGAGGAGUUGUUGGUAACGUGUCAUUGUUUAUUUAUUUAUUUAUUUAUUUAAAUGUAUUGCUGAGUAUGUUGAAUGCCUUCCUUGGUCAGAUUUAAACUAGGUGGCUUUUGUGGAAGUUUCUCGGGGUAUAUAGCACAGGUUUAUGUUUAUCAUUUACAUGAGCAUAAUCUUUUUAAAAUGUAUAUGCACCCUAUCUCACUAAUACCUUCUAUUCCUCAUCUGUAUUGAAAGCCCUCCUAAAGUAAGGCUUACUGAUUCACAAAUUAGAGUUUAAACACUUCUGGCUGGGAACAGUGGCUCACACCUGUAAUCCUAGUACUUUGGGAGGUCGAGGCAGGCAGAUCACUUGAGGUCAGGGGUUCAAGACCAGCCUGGCCAAUGUGGCGGAACCCUGUCUCUACUAAAACUACAAAAACUGGCCAGGGAUGGUGGCGCACACGUGUCAUCCCAGCUACUUGGGAGGCUGAGGCAGGAGAAUCGCUUGAACCGGGGACGCAAAGGUUGCAGUGAGCCAAGAUUGCAUCACUGCACUCCAACCUGGACAACAGAGCGAGACUCCAUCUCCAAAAAAAAAGAACGCAAACACUUUUUAUCAGCACACGACUAUGGUGGGACCAAGUUUGUAAACAUUAUCCUGUUUGGCCAAGAGUCAGUGUACCUUUGCCAUCUAUCCAGUAGACAUUGUUUUUCCCUUGAACUGAUAUGUGUGCUAUGUUUUCGUGUGUGUAGGACAAGGUUUAUAGCUCGGUGCUGCAGCAGUGCUACAGCAUGUACAAGAAGUCUCAGGGGAUCCAGAACUGCAGCCAGUCCUUGCUGGGCUGUUCCUGUCCAUGUGCCUGGUCACGGUGCUGGGGAACCUGCUCAUCAUCCUGGCCAUCAGCCCUGACUCCCACCUCCACACCCCCAUGUACUUCUUCCUCUCCAACCUGUCCUUGCCUGACAUCGGUUUCACCUCCACCACGGUCCCCAAGAUGAUUGUGGACAUCCAGUCUCACAGCAGAGUCAUCUCCUAUGCAGGCUGCCUGACUCAGAUGUCUCUCUUUGCCAUUUUUGGAGGCAUGGAAGAGAGACAUGCUCCUGAGUGUGAUGGCCUAUGACUGGUUUGUAGCCAUCUGUCACCCGCUAUAUCAUUCACCAUCAUGAACCCGUGUUUCUGUGCCUUUCUAGUUUUGUUGUCUUUUUUUUUCUCAGUCUUUUAGACUCCCAGCUGCACAACUUGAUUGCCUUACAAGUGACCUGCUUCAAGGAUGUGGAAAUUCCUAAUUUCUUCUGUGACCCUUCUCAACUCUCCCAUCUUGCAUGUUGUGACACCUUCACCAUUAACAUAAUCAUGUAUUUCCCUGCUGCCAUAUUUGGUUUUCUUCCCAUCUUGGGGACC